UAGAGUUUGAUCCUGGCUCAGGAUGAACGCUGGCGGCGCGGAUAAGGCAUGCAAGUCGAACGAAUGUUCCCUUGAAGAAGUUGCGAUUACAUCAAGACGACGGAUAGGGAAUGUGAGUGGCGAACGAGUUCGUAACACCUUGGUACGUACCCGGAAGUCGGGCAUAACGGGUCGAAAGAUCUGCUAAUUCCUGAUGGUCCCGCAAGGGUAAAGGAGCAAUUUGCUUCCGGAGCGGCCUAGGUCCUAUCAGCUUGUUGGUGAGGUAACGGCUCACCAAGGCUCUGACGGGUAGGGGGUGUGAGAGCAUGGCCCUCAACGACGGAACUGAGACACGGUCCGUACACCUACGGGUGGCAGCAGUCGAGAAUAUUCGACAAUGGGGGAAACCCUGAUCGAGCGACGCCGCGUGCAGGAAGACGGCCUUCGGGUUGUAAACUGCUUUUGCUAGGGAAGAAUUUUGACGGUACCUGGCGAAUAAGGGGUUGCUAACUCUGUGCCAGCAGCAGCGGUAAUACAGAGACCCCGAGCGUUAUCCGGAAUUACUGGGCGUAAAGGGCGAGUAGCCGGUCGAGUUAGUCCGAUGUCAAACCAUGGGGCCCAACCCCAUGCCUGCAUUGGAAACGGCACGACUAGAGUCGGUGAGAGGCGGACGGAACAUACGGUGUAGGGGUGAAAUCCACUGAUAUCGUAUGGAACACCAAAAGCGAAGGCAGUCCGCUAGCGCUGUACUGACGGUGAAUCGCGAAAGCGUGGGGAUCAAAAAGGAUUAGAUACCCUUGUAGUCCACGCCCUAAACGUUGCCAACUGGCUAUCGGGAGCAUCGACCCUUCCGGUGGCGAAGCUAACGCGUUAAGUUGGCCGCCUGGGAAAUACGAGCGCAAGCUUAAAACUCAAAGGAACAGGCGGGACUUCGCACAAGCAGUGGAUCAUGUGGUUCAAUUCGACUCUAACCGAGAAACCUCACCAGGGCUUGAAAUCCAGACGUAAUCCUUCCGAAAGGUUGGACCCCGAAAGGCGGCUGGACAGGUGCUGCACGGCUGUCGUCAGCUCGUCACGUGAGUGGUCUCCUUAAGUGGAUUAACGAGCGCAACCCCUACCGUGUGUUACAAGUGUCACACGGGACUGCUGCGGUAACGCAGAGGAAGGUGGGGACGACGUCAAGUCAGCGUGGCCCUCUGAUGCCCUGGGCUACACACAUGAUACAAUGGACGUUACAACGGGUUGCCAAGCCGCGAGGCGGAGCUAAUCCCAUCAAAGGCGUCCUCAGUUCGGAUAGGAGGCUGCAACUUGCCUCCUUGAAGCUGGAAUUGCUAGUAAUCGCGGAUCAGCAUGCCGCGGUGAAUACGUUCUCGAAGUUUGCACUCACUGCCCGUCAACUCAAGGGAGCCGGGAAUACCUGAAGACCCCUGAAUAUACGGGGGGACACGGUAGGUUCGGUGACAGGGAGUAAGUCGUAACAAGGUAACC
rnacentral:rRNA from 1 species